UACGAAGGGGGCUAGCGUUGUUCGGAAUUACUGGGCGUAAAGCGCGCGCAGGCGGCUAUCCAAGUCAGUGGUGAAAGCCCGGAGCUCAACUCCGGAACUGCCAUUGAAACUGUUUAGCUGGAGUAUGAGAGAGGUGAGUGGAAUUCCCAGUGUAGAGGUGAAAUGCGUAGAGAUCGGGAGGAACACCAGAGGCGAAGGCGGCUCACUGGACAGUCACUGACACUCAACUGCGAAAGCGUGGGGAGCAAACAGG
rnacentral:rRNA from 1 species